UCCCUGGUAGUCCAGCAACUAAGACUCUGCGCUCCCAAUGCAGGGACCCUGGUUCCAUCCCUGGUCAGGGAA
rnacentral:tRNA from 1 species